rnacentral:rRNA from 1 species
AUGCUCCUCCUAAAGACUAAGCCAUGCAUGCCUUUGAAUAGAAGACGCAUCUCUCUGAAUCUGCGAACGGCUCCGCAAACCAGUUGUAAACCAUAGCGAGUUCGUCUUGGGCACCGGCUUCCUCGGAAGCUCGCCCUUGACUUACAUGGAUACCCAUGGUAAUCCUGAGGCUAAUACAAGAACGUAAAACCCAGUUGACUGCAUCAAAAGUAGAAGGCUGGGGGUUGUGUGGUUACUCACCGCAAAAAAACAACCUCCGGAAUGAACACACUACUGGACCACCAUAUCAAACGGCCUUUUGCCCACUGGGCUCUGACCUCCGGGUUGGGGCACUGUGGGUAACUGAUCGGGUGGCUCUGGCUGUGUGCUUCUGACCUAUCAACUAGAUGGCAGCACACUGGACACGCUAUGGUUACAACGGGUACAGAGGAUAAGGGUUCGAUCCUGGAGAGUGGGCCUGAGAGAUUGCUCACACUUCUAAGGAAGGCAGCAGGCGCGUAACGUUCCCAAUGGGUAAAACCUGAGGGCGUUAGGGGACAUAUGAAUACCUGCCAUUAGGUGGGUAAUUCAAAUGGGACUGUUUUAAACAUCCUA